CUGCCCCGGAGCGGGGGAUAACAUUUGGAAACAGAUGCUAAUACCGCAUAACAACGAAAGCCACAUGGCUUUUGUUUGAAAGAUGGCUUUGGCUAUCACUCUGGGAUGGACCUGCGGUGCAUUAGCUAGUUGGUAAGGUAACGGCUUACCAAGGCGAUGAUGCAUAGCCGAGUUGAGAGACUGAUCGGCCACAAUGGAACUGAGACACGGUCCAUACUCCUACGGGAGGCAGCAGUAGGGAAUCUUCCACAAUGGGCGCAAGCCUGAUGGAGCAACACCGCGUGAGUGAAGAAGGGUUUCGGCUCGUAAAGCUCUGUUGUUGGAGAAGAACGUGCGUGAGAGUAACUGUUCACGCAGUGACGGUAUCCAACCAGAAAGUCACGGCUAACUACGUGCCAGCAGCCGCGGUAAUACGUAGGUGGCAAGCGUUAUCCGGAUUUAUUGGGCGUAAAGCGAGCGCAGGCGGUUGCUUAGGUCUGAUGUGAAAGCCUUCGGCUUAACCGAAGAAGUGCAUCGGAAACCGGGCGACUUGAGUGCAGAAGGGGACAGUGGAACUCCAUGUGUAGCGGUGGAAUGCGUAGAUAUAUGGAAGAACACCAGUGGCGAAGGCGGCUGUCUGGUCUGCAACUGACGCUGAGGCUCGAAAGCAUGGGUAGCGAACAGGAUUAGAUACCCUGGUAGUCCAUGCCGUAAAC
rnacentral:rRNA from 1 species